GAUUUGUGGGAGGCGAUCUGGUGUGACCUCUGUCACCUCAUUGAUGCCCGGGGUCAAUUCGGCUGAUCUGGCUGGUGAGGUGUCCCCUUCCUCCCUCACUGCUCGUUUGUGUUCCUCCCCACCCCACCUCACCCCUCCAGCUGGAAGAAGACGACCUAAGGAUCUGGAGGAGGACCGUUCUUCUGCCGAGGUGUACAAGGAGCUGUGCUCCCUGCCAGAAACUCCAGUGGCUCUCGAGGUCCGUGGUGGAAACCAAGGCUUGCUAAGCACAGAGAGUCUCCAGAGACCACAGACAGGAGGUGACAGCUCUG
rnacentral:snRNA from 1 species